GUCCUGAUUCUGAGGUGUGUGGAAUCAACUGCUAGAGAAAAUAAAAUCUGGUAGAUUGGAUGACUUGUCAGUUUCCACUCAACUGUGUUGUUGUGAUUGAUUGUAAUGUAAUUCUUUUGUUUACAUGCUACAGUUUUUGAUAUUUGUUCAUGCACGUUUAAAUUAUUGUGCAGUUGAUGGAUUAUAUAGAAGAGAACAAAUUAGAAUCAAAUUAUUUUUAAGGUUGUUAUUCUUUGUAUAAUUAUUAUUUUGAACAUACCUCCCCUUUUUUGGGACAAGUUAUUUAUUGUUAUUAAACUAUUCAUACCACACAUCCUUGUAUACAUUUCUGCUAUCUUAAAUAUUUUGUUAUUGUUGUUUCAAUAACACAAGUAACUUCUGCAUCGUCUAACACUUGGUUAUGUAUGUGUGUAUGAAGAUAUGGAAUUUGAAACAUCAUCAAAUUACUAUACAGUUGUAGUAUCAAAAAGUAUACACUGAAUGAAAGUGUAAAAUAUUUUGAGUUCCCUUCAAUUAUAUAAUAGAUUUAAAUUUAAUUCUGUAAGAAGAUUGUUUGAAAUGGUUUUCAAAAUAUUUGAAGCAUCCUAAAUCUAUCGAGCACAAAACAACCUACCACAACACCUAAGAU
rnacentral:lncRNA from 1 species